rnacentral:rRNA from 1 species
AUAGCGUAUAUUAAAGUUGUUGCAGUUAAAAAGCUCGUAGUUGGAUUUCUGCUGAAGACAGCCGGUCCGCCUUCGGGUGUGUACCAGGUUCGGCUUCGGCAUUCUUCUGGGGAACGUACGUGCACUUGAGUGUGUGCUACGGUAUCCAGGAAUUUUACUUUGAGAAAAUUAGAGUGUUUCAAGCAGGCAAUCGCCUUGAAUACUGCAGCAUGGAAUAAUAAGAUAGGACUUUAGUCCUAGCUUGUUGGUUUCUGGGACUGAAGUAAUGAUUAAUAGGGAUAGUUGGGGGCAUUCGUAUUUAACUGUCAGAGGUGAAAUUCUUGGAUUUGUUAAAGACGAACUACUG